rnacentral:lncRNA from 1 species
UUUCUUUUGUGUUUCCCUUCGGCAACGAUGUUUUGUAGCUCUAUCUCUCCAAUACUAUGUAAUUUGAUAAAAGGAGAAUACAAAAAACAAUGUUAUUUUUAACCGAAAUUCUUCUUAUCCGAAACAGCCUCCCCCUCAAUUAUUUCGAUUAACGGAGGUUUUACUGUAAAUGACUAAUGUUGAUAAUAUAUUAUUUUUCUUGGAUUGCAGUUUGUUAAUAAAUUUAUAAAUAUGUACAUACAUGAUAUUGGUGUUUGAUUUGAAAUGAUUUUAAGUAAGUAUCAUUUAAAGUAUGUUAUAUCACAUUCCGUUAAAAGAACUUCCACAACUAGCAAAAAUGUAUGAUAAACAAAUUGUUUUAAAGGAUAAAAAUAAUAAUAAAGGAAUUAGCUGUAUGGUGGGUUUUUUAUAGUACAUUUAAAUAAACAAAUGCUGACGGCAUGCAAAUGAAAGUGUAAUUAAUACUUUUGGUUCAAAACUUUAUAGAUUCUAAUACAUAAAGGAUUAAAAUUUAAAAAAUAAAUACUUAAACUUUUGUUUUAUUGUAUUAACCUCUUUAUAUUGUUAAUACCAUUUGGAUUGCAUAUCAACCAAAGGAUAACAUGGAACAAACACCUCCAAAUGAAAUGCAGGCAGUUGGAUCUCAAGUUCAGACAAAUGUACUGGCUCCUUGGUAGGACAUCCAAAUUGUCAUUAAAUAACAAAUUACUACUAUACAAAGCCGUGUUGGUCACAACUUUGAUUUUAUAUUAUGUUUUUGUUCCUUAGUACCCAUUGUUUACUGCUAUUUGUUGAAUGAUGUACAAUUCUAUCUUGAAGUUAUUUAUGGCAUGGGUAUUUCUGUCUGUAUGUAACAUAUUAUGUAGACUGCCAAUAGGAUUUUUCAGCCCUUCUCAUUUGUUUAGAACUUCUGUUCCUAAUGUCGUAUAUUAAUAUUAUACAUGGAUGAUUAUAAGAACUAUCAACAAGCUCGAAACAAAUGAGAAGCGUUGAAAAGUCCUAUUUAUGUUGUGUUAGGAUGGGAUGAUGAAAUGUGUCAGUAUUUUGUAUUAGAUAAAAAAAAUACCAAGUUGCCCGAAUCAUCAUUGUAAAUCAAAAACAGGUCUUUUGAGAUAUUAGACUUUGGCAUCCAUUUAUCCAACGUUGUAAUAGGCAUCAGGAAAAGAACAAAAAGAAGAGAACAAUACUUUGGGCAACUUGCUACUUUUUUUAUCUAAUACAAAAUACUGACACAAUUCAUCAUCCCAUCCUAACUAUUAGGGUGGCUAUUAGAGCCACCUCAGAAAAUUUUACUUUUGUUUAAUAAUGGUAUGUAAAUUUUUUCUUUAUACGGUCCACGUUGCCUUUGAAACUUUAGAAAUGGAUGGUAUGCUUAUGCUUCUGUUGGAGUGAUUUAGUGUUAAAUAAUAAAGUUUUUAUUUCUACUAUUUUCCUUGGUGAGAUGUACCACUAGUGUAAUGAACGUGCAAUGUUUACUAAAUUCCCAAAAAAUUGUAUAAGACUGUCAGAAUAUCACUGGAGAGCAAUGGAAACUCUCAGAGUUUAUUAUAACUGUAAACACCAAGAAUACAAAAUAAGAGGCACACGAGUUGCAAGCUAGCUGGGCAGCACUGAUAAACAAAGGCAUCUGAGUCACGCAUUACCACUAUUGUCAGACUAUUAUUUAUUGCAUUCAUUAAGUGCAACAAGACAGUCAAAUGGAAACAAACGCAUUAAUAUAUUAUACACUUCAAUGAUAUACCCUUUCUCUAAAACAUUGAAUUUUACUACGUGGCUCUAAUAAUUUGAUCACCCACUGUAUGUUACAUAGACUGACAGAAAUAUCCAUAUCAUAAAUAACUUCGAGAUAUAAUUAUAGAAUUGUACGCAUCAUGCAACAAAUAUAUAUGUAGCAGUAAACAAUGGGUACAAGGAACAAACAAUUAACAGAAUCGAAAAUCAAAAACUGCAUAAAAAAGCCUUGAAAUUAGUCUUCCCAUUAUCAUAGAAAAACCCAGUACCUAUCUUCUUCUCUAUCACAGCCGUAAUAGGUCCACUGCACAUUAUUUAAAUUUUGGCACGAAAUUCAAUAUGACAUUGCCUGCACAUGCGCAAAUAAAGGAACGAAUUGGACAAAUUAACGUCUCCUGAAAUUAGUAGGGAAUUGAAAAGAAACCCUCAAAAUGGUGUUAACACCCAUAUUCAAUUAAAUUGUAAAUUUGAUCCAAUCUUUAAGAAGUUUCUUUAAUAAUUUUUAGUAUUCAGCAUGCCCAACAAUUGCUAAAGUUUUUUGAACAUUACUUUUUAAUAUACUUGAAUUCUCUUUCAUUGACUACAAAUAAGUAAAUAUUUUAGAUUUGGUUUAAUUUAAUAAUAAUAUUGUUUUUUAAAGAAACGGCUAUCGAAUUUUGAACUUGUCAAAUGGGACUUCUCCUUGGUUUGUUUUCAUCUACCUCACUUCUAUAUUUAAUCAAGAAUUAACGGUUUUUGUCUUUAAAAAUACUUUGAUAAUUUUAAGUUGAUUGAAUUUUAAUUUGAUAAGUGAAGGGUCCAGGACUGUAAUAGCUCAAUUUUCCUAUUCAUCUAGUAGGGUCGCGGUUACUGUAUAUGUAGAUAUAUUUAUAUAAACGUUUUAAUAAAUCUUCUAAAAAGUCA